rnacentral:tRNA from 1 species
GGUUCGCUAGCUCAGCCGGUAGAGCACUUGACUUUUAAUCAAGGGGUCCCGGGUUCGAAUCCCGGGCGAGCCACCA